GUUAUUGAUUGCCUAAAUUUUUUUGACUAGCCUUGGUAUAUGUUUCUAGUUAUAUACCGACAUAAAUAAUAUAUAUUUAUUAAUUUAAAUGAUAAAAUAUAUGUUAAUUAUAUAAUACCAAAAUAUUUAUACAUACGUGUCCUAUUAGUCAUGGUCUAUUAAACAAGCCUAGGUAAAAAUCUCUAUCCUCGUCUAUCAGCUGAUAUCAGUAGUUAGGUAGGUGAUUGACAUUAAUAUUUUAUAAUAAUUAUAUUUGUUAUGAUGAAUGGGAUUGAACAUGAAAAAUCUUUUCUUUCGGUACUCUUCUAUGGAACAUAUGCAUGACGUGGUUGCUGGUGGAAAAGAUAAGAGUUAAGAUCAUGAAUUCAUCAGGUCAGGUGAUAAGCUUGUGUCUUAAAAAAUUAACGUGUCAUUGUUUGAUUUGCUUUUGGUAUCGAUUCCCACAUGCUUAACCUUCUCCAUCACGUGGUCUUUCUUUUAACUCUUUAUGCUUGUCUUUUUUUUUUUUUUUUUCAUCCACAGCCUUUCCCUUUCUGGAAAUGACAGCAUGCACAGUUUUUACUCCUCUUCUCCUUUCUCUUUUCCUUCUCUGCAGCUGCAAUGAAAAUUCGUCCGCAUAUUUACUUAUGUUAUAUAUAUAUAUAAAAGCGUGGCUCUGGCUUUUCUCGAACAUGAACAUGAGUCCCCUCUCCACUCUCUCUUCUAUGUGCAUGCAGGGUUUCUAGUAUAAGGAUAUAUGGUUAGUGUGUAUAUAUAUAGCCAAGGCGUGUUCAUUUAUCUGCAUUUGCACCUGCACUUUUUCAAUCACAAGUCCUUAUGGGAUUGAUAGAGGUGCAGGUGCUUUGUGCAGAUAACUGCCACCUUGGUUCAGCUCUCUUCCCAUUUGCACUUGCUGCUUCCACCCUGAAACCACUAAGUUGAUAACAUCACAAGUAAUUAAUUGGAUCAUAAUACAUUAUACCAAGUUCAGCUCCAAAUUCUACAGGGUUCGCAAAGCACUGAAGAGACCAAGACAUAUAUGUGUGUGUAUGUGGCUUUGUUUUGAAAAUGGUAAUUUGCUUGAUAUAUAAGAUGGUUCUACCUUUCCCAAACAAGAAGAGGACAUAUGCUUAUUACCAGUAGGAGUCGGAUCCAUUUUGGUUGUUUUGAUGCUUCUUCAUUUCAGAAAUAUGAGUAAAGUUUUACCCUUUCGGCUUUUAAAUCAGAAUGUUUCUUAGAAGGGGACUUCCAUUAAUCCUCAAAACUUGGAUAUUAAUCAAGUUAAUUUUCAUCGCAA